UUCUUGGAUGGAAUUCUCAAUUAGG
rnacentral:piRNA from 1 species